rnacentral:misc_RNA from 1 species
GAUGAAGAACGUAGCGAAAUGCGAUAAGUAAUGUGAAUUGCAGAAUUCAGUGAAUCAUCGAGUCUUUGAACGCACAUUGCGCCCCCUGGUAUUCCGGGGGGCAUGCCUGUCCGAGCGUCAUUGCUGCCCUCAAGCACGGCUUGUGUGUUGGGCCCCCGUCCCCGGUUCUCCCCGGGGACGGGCCCGAAAGGCAGCGGCGGCACCGCGUCCGAUCCUCGAGCGUAUGGGGCUUUGUCACCCGCUCUGUAGGCCCGGCCGGCGCCAGCCGACACCCCAGCUUUAUUUUCUAAGGUUGACCUCGGAUCAGGUAGGGAUACCCGCUGAACUUAAGCAUAUCAAUAAGCGGAGGA